UACGUAGGUGGCAAGCGUUAUCCGGAAUUAUUGGGCGUAAAGCGCUCGCAGGCGGUUUCUUAAGUCUGAUGUGAAAGCCCACGGCUCAACCGUGGAGGGUCAUUGGAAACUGGGAGACUUGAGUGCAGAAGAGGAGAGUGGAAUUCCACGUGUAGCGGUGAAAUGCGUAGAGAUGUGGAGGAACACCAGUGGCGAAGGCGACUCUCUGGCUGUAACUGACGCUGAGGAGCGAAAGCGUGGGAGCAA
rnacentral:rRNA from 1 species